GAUUCAGUAGCUCAGCUGGUAGAGCAUAUCCCUUUUAAGGAUAGGGUCCUGGGUUCGAGCCCCAGCUGAAUCACAA
rnacentral:tRNA from 1 species